GGCUGAUUGGUGGAACGGUAUACACAGGAGACUUAAAAUCUCCCGCCCGUUCGGGCUUGCGGGUUCGAGUCCCGCAUCAGCUACCA
rnacentral:tRNA from 1 species